AUUGAACGCUGGCGGCAGGCCUAACACAUGCAAGUCGAACGGUAACAGGAAGAUGUUUGCUUGUUUGCUGACGAGUGGCGGACGGGUGAGAAAUGUCUGGGAAACUGCUUGAUGGAGGGGGAUAACUACUGGAAACGGUAGCUAAUACCGCAUAACGUCGCAAGCCCAAAGAGGGGGAGCUUGGGGCCUCUUGCCGUGGGAGGUGCCCAGAUGGUCUUAGCUCGUAGGGGGGGUAACCGUUCACCUGGGGGCCGAUCUGUAGCGGGACGGAGAGGAUGACCGGCCACCCGAGAACGGAGCCAGGGUCCAGGCGACUGCGGGAGGCAGCAGUGGGGAAUAGUGCACAAUGGGCGGAAACCUGAUGCAGCCAGGCGGCGUGUAUGAAGAAGGCGUUCGGGUUGGAAAGUACUUUCAGCGGGGAGGAAGGGAGUAAAGUUAAUACGUAGGCUCAGUGACGUUACCGGCAGAAGAAGCACCGGCUAACUCCGUG
rnacentral:rRNA from 1 species